rnacentral:lncRNA from 1 species
UAAAACAUUUAUUAAAAAUUAUAUUGCAACUAUUUGAAUAAAAUAAAAUUAUUCAAUAAAAUAUUCUAAUUUCUUGUAAAACAAUAUUUAUAGAGUCAUCGGUAAAUAAUUUUUAUAAUGUAAAAGCUAAAUAAAUUCAUACGUAUUAUAAUAUAGAUAACCGGGAUAUGAAAUUUACUUUACAGUGACUCAUGGGCCCACAAGGAACAAAAGUGCACAAAUGCAGUAAACCUACAGUUUUUGGAGUAGUAAAGCCGACUAUAAUCCUUGACGAUAUCUGCUAUCCAUAGGCUACCUCGGGCCUGAAAUGGUUGAAGAGGAAGGUGGUGAGAUUAUAAAAUCCCAGUGAGUAAACAGAUACCAUUUAAACUAUCUAAAGUCGAGUAAAUGGAGACAGAUAAAACAAUUUAACAUACUGAAAUUCAUCACCUUUCAACUUGUUUCAACCAAAUAAAAUCAAUUCAUAUAAAUCGAGUAAUUAACAUGCUUUAUGAAUUUCUUAAAAGCUUUGGCUCAUGCCAAAAUCAUUUUUAUACCCAGUUAUCAGGGAUGCCUUGAUCGAGGGCUAUCACAACCGAGUCCGCCAAGGCUGUUAAAAAGUUAUAUACGCAUAAAUCAUGUUUUCAUUUUAAAAACAUAGUCGUUCCUUGGCGUUAGCGGAGUUCAUCAUCAUGAGGUGGUUUGGCGUGAAGUGACCUCUAAAGUUAUACCUCGGGAG